rnacentral:rRNA from 1 species
GACGUAGGGUGCAAGCGUUAAUCGGAAUUACUGGGCGUAAAGCGUGCGCAGGCGGUUAUGUAAGACAGGUGUGAAAUCCCAGGGCUUAACCUUGGAACUGCAUUUGUGACUGCAUAGCUAGAGUACGGUAGAGGGGGAUGGAAUUCCGCGUGUAGCAGUGAAAUGCGUAGAUAUGCGGAGGAACACCGAUGGCGAAGGCAAUCCCCUGGACCUGUACUGACGCUCAUGCACGAAAGCGUGGGGAGCAAACAGG